rnacentral:rRNA from 1 species
GUGGGGAAUCUUGCGCAAUGGGCGAAAGCCUGACGCAGCCAUGCCGCAUGCAGGAAGAAGGCCUUCGGGUUGUAAACUGCUUUUGUACGGAACGAAACGGUCCGGGUUAAUACCCUGGGCUAAUGACGGUACCGUAAGAAUAAGCACCGGCUAACUACGUGCCAGCAGCCGCGGUAAUACGUAGGGUGCAAGCGUUAAUCGGAAUUACUGGGCGUAAAGCGUGCGCAGGCGGUUUUGUAAGACAGGCGUGAAAUCCCCGGGCUCAACCUGGGAAUUGCGCUUGUGACUGCAAGGCUGGAGUGCGGCAGAGGGGGAUGGAAUUCCGCGUGUAGCAGUGAAAUGCGUAGAUAUGCGGAGGAACACCGAUGGCGAAGGCAAUCCCCUGGGCCUGCACUGACGCUCAUGCACGAAAGCGUGGGGAGCAAACAGGAUUAGAUACCCGUGUAGUCC